AGCAGCCGCGGUAAUUCCAGCUCCAAUAGCGUAUAUUAAAGUUGUUGCAGUUAAAAAGCUCGUAGUUGAAUUUCGGGAUUGGCGCAUCGGUCGUGCCUCACGGGGUAUGAACUGGUGCAGUCAAUUUCUCACCUUCUGGAGAACCGCGAUGUCCUUAAUUGGAUGCCGCGGGGAACCAGGACCUUUACUUUGAAAAAUUAGAGUGUUUAAAGCAGGCAUUUUUGCUUGAAUACAUUAGCAUGGAAUAAUAAAAUAGGACGGCAUGGUUCUAUUUUGUUGGUUUCUAGGACCACCGUAAUGAUUAAUAGGGAUAGUUGGGGGCAUUAGUAUUCAAUUGUCAGAGGUGAAAUUCUUGGAUUUAUUGAAGACUAACUACUGCGAAAGCAUUUGCCAAGGAUGUUUUCAUUAAUCAAGAACGAAAGUUAGGGGAUCGAAGACGAUCAGAUACCGUCGUAGUCUUAACCAUAAACUAUGCCGACUAAGAAUCAGACGAUGUUAAUUUUUAAUGUACUCGUUUGGC
rnacentral:rRNA from 1 species